CUGGCGGCGUGCUUAACACAUGCAAGUCGAACGGUGAAGCCCAGCUUGCUGGGUGGAUCAGUGGCGAACGGGUGAGUAACACGUGAGCAACCUGCCCCUGACUCUGGGAUAAGCGCUGGAAACGGCGUCUAAUACUGGAUACGAGACGUGAUCGCAUGGUCAACGUUUGGAAAGAUUUUUUGGUUGGGGAUGGGCUCGCGGCCUAUCAGCUUGUUGGUGAGGUAAUGGCUCACCAAGGCGUCGACGGGUAGCCGGCCUGAGAGGGUGACCGGCCACACUGGGACUGAGACACGGCCCAGACUCCUACGGGAGGCAGCAGUGGGGAAUAUUGCACAAUGGGCGCAAGCCUGAUGCAGCAACGCCGCGUGAGGGAUGACGGCCUUCGGGUUGUAAACCUCUUUUAGCAAGGAAGAAGCGAAAGUGACGGUACUUGCAGAAAAAGCGCCGGCUAACUACGUGCCAGCAGCCGCGGUAAUACGUAGGGCGCAAGCGUUAUCCGGAAUUAUUGGGCGUAAAGAGCUCGUAGGCGGUUUGUCGCGUCUGCUGUGAAAUCCCGAGGCUCAACCUCGGGUCUGCAGUGGGUACGGGCAGACUAGAGUGCGGUAGGGGAGAUUGGAAUUCCUGGUGUAGCGGUGGAAUGCGCAGAUAUCAGGAGGAACACCGAUGGCGAAGGCAGAUCUCUGGGCCGUAACUGAC
rnacentral:rRNA from 1 species